rnacentral:rRNA from 1 species
CGCGUAGGCGGUUUGUUAAGUCAGCUGUGAAAGCCCUGGGCUCAACCUGGGAACUGCAGUUGAUACUGGCCAACUAGAGUACGAGAGAGGGAGGUAGAAUUCCAUGUGUAGCGGUGAAAUGCGUAGAUAUAUGGAGGAAUACCAGUGGCGAAGGCGGCCUCCUGGCUCGAUACUGACGCUGAGGUGCGAAAGCGUGGGGAUCAAACAGGAUUAGAUACCCUGGUAGUCC